CAAGUGCAUCUCUAGUGUCCUGCGUUUAUACCCUCCUCUUCUGAUAAUUUCUGAUUUUGGUAGCAUAUGUGUGCAUGGAUGUUUUCCUAACUUUACUGUAUAUAUGCCUUUACUGGUGAGCCUUGUCAUUUCUGGUAUUUUUGUUUCUAGUUGUGGCCUUUUCUUUUUUGCCUAGAGAAGUUUCUUUAGUAUUUGUUGUAAAGCUGGUUUAGUGUUGCUGAAUUCACUUAGCUUUUGCUUAUCUGUGAAGGUUUUGAUUUCUCCUUCAAAUCUGAAUGAGAGCCUUUCUGGGUAAAGUAAUCUUAGUUGGAGGUUUUUUUCCUUUCAUCACGUUAAGUAUGUCAUGCCAGUCCCUUCUGGCCUGUAGAGUUUCGGCUGAAAAAUCUGCCAAUAACCUUAUUUGGAGUUCCCUUUUAUCUUAUGUGUUUCUUUUCCUUAGCUGCUUUCAAUAUUUUCUCUUUGUCUUUAUUUUGGUCAGUUUGAUUAGUAUGUGUCUGGGGGUGUUCCUCCUUGGGUUUAUUUUACAUGGUACUCAUUGUUGCUUCUUGGAUUUGAGUGAGUGGUUCCUUUCCCAUGCUAGGGAACUUUUCAUCUAUUAUCUCUUGGAAUAUAUUUUCUGUCCCUUUCUCUCUCUGUACUCCUUCUGGCACCCCUAUAAUAUGGCUGUUGGUGCAUUUAACGUUGUCCCAGAGUUCUCUGAGACUAUCUUAAUUUCUUUUCACUCUUCUUUCUCUUUUCUAUUCCAUAUCAGUGAUUUCCACUAGUCUGUCCUCCACCUCGCUUAGUCAUUCUUCUGCCUCCUCUAUUCUGCUGUUAGUUACUUCCAAUGAUUUCUUUUUAUUUCAGUUACUGUAUUUUGCACCUCUGCUUGCUUAAGUUUUAAUCUUGUAUUUCUUUGAUCAGUGUUUCCUGUAAAUUAUCAAUCCUUCCCCCCAGUUUAUUUCCAGUGUCUUGCAUCAUCUUCGGAAUCAUCAGUCUAAAGUCUUUUUCCUGGAGGCUCAUAACCUCCAGAUCACUUAGCUGUUUUUCUGGGUUUUUUUUUUUCUUGUUCUUUUAUCUGACUUAUAGUUCUCUGCCUUUUCAUUUUUGUAGGUUUUUGGUGUGGCCUCCUUUUUGCAGACAAUAGAGUUGUAGCCUCUCUUACUUCUGAUGUCUGCCCCCCUUGUGGCUGAAGUUGGUAGGGGGGCUUGCUGUAGACUUCCUGAUGGGAGGGGCUGGUGCCUGCCCACUGGUGGGUGGGGAUUUGUCUCUGGGUGAGAUUAGAGGUGGCUGUGUGCCUGGGGAGGUCUUUAGGCAGCCUUUUACUGAUGGGUGGGGCUGAGAUCGCACCUGGGUUAUUGUUUGGCCCGGGGCUUCUUGGCACUGAUGGGUGGGGCAAGAUUUUCCGAAAAUGGCCCCCUGUAGAGGAAUACAUGCUGCUGAGUAUUCCUGAGACCUCUCCCUCCAAAGUCCUUCUGCCACAACAAGCCACAGUUACCCCCUGUUUUUCCAGGAGAUCCUUCAAGAAGUGCAGUCAGGUCUGACCCAGAUUCCUAUGGAGCCUCCACUUUGCCCUGAGACCCAGUGCAUGUGAAAGCCUGUGUGCGCCUUUCAAGAAUGGGGGUCUCUGUCUCCACCAGUCCUGUGGGGCUCCUGCACAGAGGCCCCACUGGCCUUCAGUGCCAGAUGUUCCAGGGACUCUUUCUCCCAAUGCUAGAUCCCCCGGCAUGGGCACUUGACAUGGGGCUCAGAACUAUCACUCCUCUAGGUAAGUCUCUGUGAUACAGUAACUUUCUAAUCUGUGGGCUUGCCACCCAGGGGGUAUGGGGUUGCUAAUAUCAUGCAGUUGCCCCUCCUACCAUCUUGAUGUGGCCUCCUCUUUGUCUUCUGGAUUAGGAUAUCUUUAUGAAAGUUUCCAGUCCAUUUGGUUGAAGGUUGUUCUGCAUUUGGUUGUAAUUCUAUUGUUUUUAUGAGAGAAAGUGAGCUCCAGAUCUUCUAUUCUGCCAUCUUAAUCCCAUCUCCCCUGGAUUUUUUAAAAAUAACUGACCUAUAUAGGCUUACUACAACACUCACUUGAAAUGUAAAGACACACUAAAAUUAUUAAACACCAUGGGAGAAACUGAUAAAGACACAAGUAAAUGGAAAGCUAGCUGAAGCUCAUGAACUGGAAACUCUACUAUUGUAUGACCCAAAGAAAUUUAUAGAUUUAAUGAAAUCCCUCAUGGCAUUUUUCACAGAACUGAAACAAAUACUUCCAUAAUUCAUAUUGAACCACAAAAGAUCCUGAAUUACCAAAGCAGCCUUGAGAAGAAAGAACAAAGCUGGCACUAUUACAAUUCCUAAAGUGACAUUAUAUCCCAAUGUUUGAUGCUACAAGCAUCAAAACACUAUGGUACUAGCACAAAAAAAUAGACAUAGAUCAAUGGAACAGAAUAGAAAACCCAGGUAUAAACUCAUGCACUUAUGAUCAAUUAAUAUACAACAGAGGAGGAAAGAAUAUACAAUGGAGAAAAGGCAAUCCCUUGAACAAGUGGUGCUGGGAAAACUAGACAGCUACAUGUAAAAAAAAAAAAAAAUGAGCUUAGAACAUAUCUCCCACCAAAAUUUUAAUGGAAUUUUUCACAGAAAUAGAUCAAGUAAUUCUAAAAUUUAUGUGGAACUACAAAAGACCCUGAAUAUCCAAAACCAAUAUUGAUAAAAUACAAACUUGGAGCCAUCGUUCUCCCUGAUUUCAAACUACCUUACAACCUUAGUAAUCAAAGCAGUAUAGUACUGGCACAAAAACAGACACAUAGAUCAAUGGAACAGAAUAGAGAGCCUAGAAAUAAACCCAUACAUAUAUGGUCAAUUAAUUUAUGACAAAGGAGCCAAGACUAAAUAGGGAAAGGACAAUAUUUUCAAUAAAUGGUGCUGGGAAAACUGGACAGACACAUGCCAAAGAAUGAAACCGAACUUGUUUUACACUAUGCAUAAAAAUUACCUCAAAAUGGAUUAAAGGCUUGAAUAUAACACCUGAAACCAUUCAAUUCCUAGAAGAAAACAUAGGUGGUAAGCUCCUUGACAUUGGUCUUGUGAUUAUUGUUUGGGUUUGACAGCAAAAGCAAAGACAACAAAAGCAAAAAUAAAUAAGUAGGACUACAUCCAACUAAAAGCUUCUGCACAGCAAAAGAAACUGUCAACAAAAUGAAAAACAAACCUACCAAAUGGGAGAAAAUGUUUGUAAAUCAUGUAUCUGAUAAGGCCUUAAUAUCCAGAAUACAUAAAAAAACCCUCAGGAGUUCCUGUCGUGGUUCAGCAGAAACAAAUCUGACUAGGAACCAUGAGGUUGCAAGUUCGAUCCCUGGCCUCGCUCAGUGGGUUAAGGAUCUGGCAUUGCCAUGAGCUGUGGUGUAGGUUGCAUAUGUUGCUCAGAUCUGGCGUUGCUAUGGCUGUGGUAUAGGCUGGCAGCUGUAGCUCCAAUUCGACCCCUAACCUGGGAACCUCCAUGCGCCUCCGGUGUGGCCCUAAAAGGACAAAAGACAAAAAAAAAAA
rnacentral:lncRNA from 1 species